rnacentral:rRNA from 1 species
UCUAUUAGAUACCCCCCGGUAGUCCUAGCCGUAAACGAUGCGCGCUAGGUGUCGGGCACGGUGCGACCGUCCUCGGUGCCGUAGGGAAGCCGUGUAAGNGCAGCCGACCUGGGAAGUACGGCCGCAAGGCUGAAACUUAAAGGAAUUGGCGGGGGAGCACCACAACGCGUGGAGCCUGCGGUUUAAUUGGAUUCAACGCCGGACAUCUCACCGGGGGCGACAGCAAUAUGAUGGCCAGGUUGACGAUCUUGCUUGACUAGCUGAGAGGGGGGUGCAUGGCUGA